rnacentral:tRNA from 1 species
AAAGAAUUAGUUAAAAAAUAACAUAAAUAUGUCAAAUUUAAAUUAUUAUUAUUAUAAUAUUCUUUU